UAGAGAAAUAAGUUUCUAUUGCCUUGAUAUGCGUGUUACAGUGUGUCCUAUCAAAGGAAAAAACUUUUUUUUUAUAUAGUAAGAGAGUUUUACCUCUAGUAUAUGUCUAAAAAGGUAAAAGUCCCCCUUUCUCGCUAAUUACUGAUAUGUAACCACCAUCGAGCAAAAUCUGCACCGUAAUAUCCGGUUGGUCCUGGAUAUCAAAGCCCUCUAUCCAUCGCCCACAACUGUUCAUGUGCUUCCCGAAGUCUCAUAACCCAUCCCAGAUCUAGGGUGCUUCGUUUUAUCAAGCCAAUGGCGAGCAUUCCACCGAGCCUCGAUACAAAAAGUUCUCAGCUCCGAUUUUGAUCUUGUGCAUUCAUAUCCUUGCUUCGUUUGACCCACUGGAAAAUCGGGAUGUAUGUUACCCUCAUUUCACCAAUAUAUAUAUUACUUUUUAAAUCUUUUAGGACAUAUUCAUCAUCUUAAAUCACCUAAUGACUCAACCAAAAUAAUUAUCAAGAGGAAAUCUCUCAUACAUUAAGAUGCAAGAGCCGAAGGUAUAUAUUUGGAGCAAAAACUUAUAUGAUAUUCUAUGAUGAAAGAACCUGUAAAUCAGAAGGAGGAGGAGAAGUAGAAGUCGAGGAGGAGUAAACAAAACUUUUGUUUGAAGCUUUCCAAU
rnacentral:lncRNA from 1 species